GAAAAGAACUUUGAAGAGAGAGUUCAAGAGUACGUGAAACCGUUCAGGGGUAAACCUGAGAAACCCAAAAGAUCGAAUGGGGAGAUUCAUCGACGACGAAGCUGGCUCCCGUUGGCGUGCGAUUCCCCCGUUGGGACCUCGGUUCCAGAACGCGGGGUACACCCCUUCGGCGAAUAACCGGCGACGUAGUCGUGCACUUCUCCCUUAGUAGAACGUCGCGACCCGUUGUGUGUCGGUCUACGGCCUGGGCUAUUUGCCUGUCGCGGUGGCAUUCGUUCGCUCGCGGCAGAGGCUCGGUCGCCCGGCCGGCUGCACGACGGUACUCCGACGGUAUCGGGCCGCAACCAAUCCAUUCUCGAAUGGUAUAUGCGUCCAGGCCCGUCGCAAGCUCGGACAGCACCCGGAGCGUGUGGACGCAGCGCCCUCCCCGGGUCUGGCCAGCUGUUAGCAGACGGUGUCCUCGGACCGGCCAAGCUUCGAAUUACCGGUCAGCGACGCUAUUGCUUUGGGUACUCUCAGGACCCGUCUUGAAACACGGACCAAGGAGUCUAACAUGUGCGCGAGUCAUCGGGACAUUGAAACCUAAAGGCGAAAUGAAAGUGAAAGUCGUCGUAAGCGUCGACCGAGGGAGGAUGGGCCGCGUCACGUCGCGGCCUCGCACUCCCGGGGCGUCUCGUUCUCGUUGAGAAGAGGCGCACCCAGAGCGUACACGUU
rnacentral:rRNA from 1 species